GAUGAACGCUAGCUACAGGCUUAACACAUGCAAGUCGAGCGACCGGCGCAGGGGAGAGUAACACGUAUCCCACCUGCCCUGUACUCGGGGAUAGCCUUUCGAAAUAACUAUGAACACAAGACGUAAAGGAUGGGGAUGCGUUCCAUUAGGUGGUGGGUGAGGUAACGGCACACCAAGCCUUCGAUGGAUAGGGGUUCUGAGAGGAAGGUCCACCACAUCUGAACUGAGACACGGUCCAAACUCCGACGGGAGUGUGCAGUGAGGAAUAUUGGUCAAGGGGCGUUAGCCUGAACCAGCCAAGUAGCGUGAAGAAUGAAGGCUUAUGGGUCGUAAACUUCUUUUAUAGAAGAAUAUGUAUUAUAUGACUCCGGAUCGGCUAACUCCGUGCCAGCAGCCGCGGUUAUCC
rnacentral:rRNA from 1 species